rnacentral:rRNA from 1 species
AGAGUUCGAUCCUGGCUCAGAACGAACGCUGGCGGCGCGUCUUAAGCAUGCAAGUCGAACGAAUGGUCCUUCGGGACCGGAAGUGGCGGACGGGUGAGUAACACGUGGGUAAUCUGCCCUUUGGUGGGGAAUAGCACAUGGAAACAUGUGAUAAUACCGCAUAAUACAUACAUAUGAUUUAUGUAUGGGAAAGCUCCUACGGGAGUGCCGAAGGAUGAGCCUGCGGCCUAUUAGCUAGUUGGUGAGGUAAAGGCCCACCAAGGCGACGAUAGGUAGCCGGACUGAGAGGUUGAACGGCCACAUUGGGAUUGAGAACGGCCCAGACUCCUACGGGAGGCAGCAGCUAAGAAUCUUCCACAAUGGACGAAAGUCUGAUGGAGCGACGCCGCGUGGACGAUGAAGGCCGUGAGGUUGUAAAGUCCUUUUCGUGUAGAGGAACAAGCAGAGGAGGGAAUGCCUUUGCGAUGACGUUAAACACGGAAUAAGCCCCGGCUAACUACGUGCCAGCAGCCGCGGUAAUACGUAGGGGGCGAGCGUUGUUCGGAAUUAUUGGGCGUAAAGGGUGCGCAGGUGGCUAAUCAAGUCUGUUGUGAAAGUUCGGGGCUCAACUCCGUGAUGCGAUGGAAACUGGUUAGCUUGAGUACAGCAGGGGGCAUUGGAAUUCCAGGUGUAGGGGUGAAAUCUGUAGAUAUCUGGAAGAACACCGGUGGCGAAGGCGAAUGCCUGGGCAUGUACUGACACUGAGGCACGAAGGUGCGGGGAGCAAACAGGUUUAGAUACCCUGGUAGUCCGCACAGUAAACUAUGUACACUAGGUGUCGGGGGCAACUCCGGUACCGGAGCAAACGCGUUAAGUGUACCGCCUGGGGAGUAUGCCCGCAAGGGUGAAACUCAAAGGAAUUGACGGGGGCCCGCACAAGCGGUGGAGCAUGUGGUUUAAUUCGAUGAUACGCGAGGAACCUUACCAGGGCUUGACAUGAGGAGGAAAGGCUAUGAAAGUAGUCCGCUCUUUUGAGUCUCCCCACAGGUGCUGCAUGGCUGUCGUCAGCUCGUGUCGUAAGAUGUGAGAUUAAGUUCUUCAACGAGCGCAACCCCCACUGUCCGUUGCCAACAGGUUAAGCUGGGCACUCAGACGGAACUGCCGGUGACAAACCGGAGGAAGGCGGGGAUGACGUCAAGUCAUCAUGGCCCUUACGUCCUGGGCCACACACGUGCUACAAUGGCUGGUACAGAGCGAAGCAAGACCGAGAGGUGGAGCGAACCGCAAAAAGCCAGUCUCAGUACGGACUGGGGUCUGCAACUCGACCCCACGAAGUUGGAAUCGCUAGUA